AUUGAACGCUGGCGGCAGGCCUAACACAUGCAAGUCGAACGAGUGGCGGACGGGUGAGUAAUAUAUGGGAAAGUGCCCAAUGGAGGGGGAUAACUACUGGAAACGGUAGCUAAUACCGCAUACCAUCGGAUGUGCCCAGAUUGGAUUAGCUAGUUGGUGGGGUAACGGCUCACCUAGGCGACGAUCCCUAGCUGGUCUGAGAGGAUGACCAGCCACACUGGAACUGAGACACGGCCCAGACUCCUACGGGAGGCAGCAGUGGUGAAUAUUGCACAAUGGGCGCAAGCCUGAUGCAGCCAUGCCGCGUGUAUGAAGAAGGCCUUCGGGUUGUAAAGUACUUUUGGCGAGGAGGCGUUAUUCGCAGAAUAAGCACCGGCUAACUACGUGCCAGCAGCCGCGGUAAUUC
rnacentral:rRNA from 1 species